rnacentral:rRNA from 1 species
GGGUGCGACCAUGCCAACCCUAACGCACCGGAUCCCAUCAGAACUCCGAUGUUAAUCGUGCUUGGACGAGAGUAGUACUAGGAUGGGUGACCCCCUAGGAAGUCCUUGUGUUGCAUCUC